rnacentral:snRNA from 1 species
AACUUUGUGCAGUGGCAGUAUCGUAGCCAAUGAGGUUUAUCCCAGGCACGAUUAUUGCUAAUUGAAACAAAAUGGUUGUACAAGUUCACAGCUCCACCAACAAUGCAUUAGUAUGCCUACCUUUUCACAAUCUCUUCAAUCAUCCAUUGAUU